rnacentral:lncRNA from 1 species
UUUUAAUCAAAUGUUCACAAGGUACGAUUAAACAACUAAAGUUCUUUCAAUCAAAUGUUCACAAGGUACGAUUCUUGGAUUCUAGUGAACCAAACCCUUAUCGUAAAUCAAGAACUUGAUAUUCAAAGAAAUUAAUAUGAAUAAAAUCAAGAAAUGAUCAAAUUAAAUCCCUAUUAAGCCAAAAGAGAAAUUUAUACCCCCCCCCCCCCCCCAAAAAAAACGAGCUAAAGGAACUGACCUAGUUGAGUAUUAAGACCAUAACGCCUAUUGCCACUUUAUUGCUGAAAUUUCUAGCAGGUACAUUAAAAGAGAAGCUCCAAAACAGUAAUCCCAAACCAGUUAUAGACUAGAAACUAGAACCGAAAUCACAACCUCGAAUAGACCUAGCUCGACCGGCUGAUUUUCACAUUGGUUCAGGGUAGUUUUUCAAUGGUUUAAGACUGGUUUUGAAGUUGACAAUAGGGAAGGAAGCCUGUUGGUGGUCGCCGAAUUAUUUUUCCGGUCAGCUCGUAAGUAAAUUUCCGGUCAGACCUGAAUUUCACGUAACAUCAAAUAAACGAUAAAAGUAACUGAAGUGAGAUCGAAACCAGUGGUUAUUAGCUCGUUUUUGUCUCUUCACUUUUGUUUUCUUUUCUUUUCCGCAAGUUACUGCUAAUUUCCUUUAGACCUUUGGUUGCUAGGUUCAGGGAGAUGGGGUGGUUAAUUUUUGAAGGUUAGAGAUGGGUUUUUAUUUGCUAAUGGAGAAAGGGGGAACGCCUAAGGCUUCAUCUUUUUGGUGGGAUUUUCGGUUCGUUCGUUUCUCUAUUCUGAAGAAGACAAUGACAGGGGACGUGGGGUCUUC